rfam:Canis lupus familiaris chromosome 30, whole genome shotgun sequence.
GCCUGGCUGGCUUAGUUGGAAGAGCAUGUGACCCUUGAUCUCAGGGUUGUGAGUUCAAGCCCCAUGUUAAGUG